CCCGCUGAACUUAAGCAUAUCAAUAAGCGGAGGAAAAGAAACUAACAAGGAUUCCCCUAGUAACGGCGAGUGAAGCGGGAUGAGCUCAAAUUUAAAAUCUGGCUGGUUUACUAGUCCGAAUUGUAGUUUAUAGAAGCGUUUUCGGUGGCAGCCUGGGUAUAAAUCCUUUGGAAUAGGGUAUCAUAGAGGGUGAGAAUCCCGUCUUUGACACGGACUGCCAGGGCUUUUGUGAUGCGCUCUCAAAGAGUCGAGUUGUUUGGGAAUGCAGCUCAAAAUGGGUGGUAAAUUUCAUCUAAAGCUAAAUAUUGGCGAGAGACCGAUAGCGAACAAGUACCGUGAGGGAAAGAUGAAAAGAACUUUGAAAAGAGAGUUAAACAGUGCGUGAAAUUGCUGAAAGGGAAACGCUUGAAGUCAGUCGCGUCAUCCAGGGAUCAACCUUGCUUUUGCUUGGUGUACUUUCUGGUUGACGGGUCAGCAUCAAUUUUGACCAUUGGAAAAAGAUAAAGGGAAUGUGGCAUACAUAGUGAUGUGUUACAGCCCUUGGUUGCAUACAAUGGUUGGGAUUGAGGAACUCAGCACGCCGCAAGGCCGGGUUUUUAUUAACCACGUACGUGCUUAGGAUGUUGGCAUAAUGGCUUUAAUCGACCCGUCUUGAAACACGG
rnacentral:rRNA from 1 species